rnacentral:rRNA from 1 species
CCGAUGCGCGUGCAUUAGGCAUGCAAGUCGAACAGUCGCCGUUGAAUAGCAAUAUUCAGCGGCGGCAGUGGCGGAAGGGCGAGGAACGCAUGGACAAUCUGUCCCGAGGGUGGGGAUAACGCCGUGAAAACGGCGCUAAUACCGAAUGUGGCGGAGCGGGCGCAUGCCUGCUCCGUUAAAGGCGGGGACCGCAAGGCCUGCCCCCUGGGGAAGAGUCCGUGUGCCAUCAGCUUGUUGGCGGGGUAACGGCCCACCAAGGCUUGCGGCUAGCUGGUCUGAGAGGACGACCAGCCGCACUGGGACUGAGAUACUGCCCAGACUCCUACGGGAGGCUGCAGUCGAGGAUCAUUCGCAAUGGGCGAAAGCCUGACGAUGCGACGCUGCGUGGAGGAUGAAGGCCUUCGGGUUGUAAACUCCUGUCAUGAGGGAAGAGGAAAGGGCCCGUAACAUGGGCCUGAUUUGACGGUACCUCAAGAGGAAGCCACGGCUAACUCUGUGCCAGCAGCCGCGGUAAUACAGAGGUGGCGAGCGUUGUUCGGAUUUACUGGGCGUAAAGGGCGCGUAGGCGGCGAUGUGUGUCGGGUGUGAAAUCCCAGGGCCCAACCCUGGAAGUGCGCCCGAAACUGCAUCGCUUGAGUGCGGGAGGGGAGAUCGGAAUACAUGGUGUAGCGGUGAAAUGCGUUGAUAUCAUGUAGAACACCGGUGGCGAAGGCGGAUCUCUGGAACGCAACUGACGCUGAGGCGCGAAAGUCGGGGGAGCAAACAGGAUUAGAUACCCUGGUAGUCCCGACCUUAAACGGUGCACCUGGGGGUGGGGGGGGGAUUUCCCCCCCCCUGUCCCGUAGCUAACGCGUUAAGUGUGCCGCCUGGGGAGUACGGCCGCAAGGUUAAAACUCAAGAAUUGACGGGGCCCGCACAACAGAGAGCAUGUGGCUUAAUUCGAUGCAACGCGAAGACCUUACCCAGGUUUGACAUGUGACUGCACGGCCUAUGAAAGUAGCCUCUUCGAGGUGUCACACAGGUGCUGAUGGCUGUCGUCAGUUCGUGCGUGAGGUGUUGGUAGUCCGCCACUAACGCAACCCAUGUGUCAGUGCAGCCGUAUGGCGGACUCUGACAGACUGCCCGUUCACCUGUAGGAAGUGAGGCA